GACGAACGCUGGCGGCGUGCCUAAUACAUGCAAGUAGGACGCAGUUGCGAACGUGUGAGUAACGCGUAGGUAACUACCUAGUAGAGGGUGAUAACUAUGGUAAACGAUAGAGAAUACCGCAUACAUGUAGGUGGAUCUGCGUUGUUUUAGCUAGGAGGUAGGGUGAUGGCCUAACUAGGAAACGAUACAUAGUCGACCUGAGAGGGGGAUCGGCCACACUGGGACUGAGACACGGCCCAGACGCCUACGGGAGGCAGCCGUAGGGAAUCUUCGGAAAUGGGGGGAACCCUGACCGAGCAACGCCGCGUGAGUGAAGAAGGUUUUCGGAUCGUAAAGCUCUGUUGUUAAGGAAGCGGUACUUAACCAGAAAGGGACGGCUAACUACGUGCCAGCAGCCGCGGUAAUAC
rnacentral:rRNA from 1 species